CGGGUGGUAAUGCCGGAUGCUCCAUCACACCGCAUGGUGUGUUGGGAAAGCCUUUGCGGCAUGGGAUGGGGUCGCGUCCUAUCAGCUUGAUGGCGGGGUAACGGCCCACCAUGGCUUCGACGGGUAGCCGGCCUGAGAGGGCGACCGGCCACAUUGGGACUGAGAUACGGCCCAGACUCCUACGGGAGGCAGCAGUGGGGAAUAUUGCACAAUGGGCGCAAGCCUGAUGCAGCGACGCCGCGUGAGGGAUGGAGGCCUUCGGGUUGUAAACCUCUUUUGUUAGGGAGCAAGGCACUUUGUGUUGAGUGUACCUUUCGAAUAAGCACCGGCUAACUACGUGCCAGCAGCCGCGGUAAUACGUAGGGUGCAAGCGUUAUCCGGAAUUAUUGGGCGUAAAGGGCUCGUAGGCGGUUCGUCGCGUCCGGUGUGAAAGUCCAUCGCUUAACGGUGGAUCCGCGCCGGGUACGGGCGGGCUUGAGUGCGGUAGGGGAGACUGGAAUUCCCGGUGUAACGGUGGAAUGUGUAG
rnacentral:rRNA from 1 species